rnacentral:rRNA from 1 species
UGCGAAUGGCUCAUUAAAUCAGUUAUCGUUUAUUUGAUAGUACCUUACUACUUGGAUAACCGUGGUAAUUCUAGAGCUAAUACAUGCUGAAAACCCCGACUUCGGAAGGGGUGUAUUUAUUAGAUAAAAAACCAAUGCCCUUCGGGGCUCUUUGGUGAUUCAUGAUAACUUCUCAGAUCGCAUGGCCUUGCGCCGGCGACGGUUCAUUCAAAUUUCUGCCCUAUCAACUUUCGAUGGUAAGGUAUUGGCUUACCAUGGUUUCAACGGGUAACGGGGAAUUAGGGUUCGAUUCCGGAGAGGGAGCCUGAGAAACGGCUACCACAUCCAAGGAAGGCAGCAGGCGCGCAAAUUACCCAAUCCCGACACGGGGAGGUAGUGACAAUAAAUACUGAUACAGGGCUCUUUUGGGUCUUGUAAUUGGAAUGAGUACAAUUUAAACCUCUUAACGAGGAACAAUUGGAGGGCAAGUCUGGUGCCAGCAGCCGCGGUAAUUCCAGCUCCAAUAGCGUAUAUUAAAGUUGUUGCAGUUAAAAAGCUCGUAGUUGAACCUUUGGCCUGGCUGGCAGGUCCGCCUCACCGCGUGCACUUGUCCGGCCGGGCCUUUUCUUCUGGAGAACCGCAUGCCCUUUACUGGGUGUGUUGGGGACCAGGACUUUUACUUUGAAAAAAUUAGAGUGUUCAAAGCAGGCCUUUGCUCGAAUACGUUAGCAUGGAAUAAUAGAAUAGGACGUGCGGUCCUAUUUUGUUGGUUUCUAGGACCGCCGUAAUGAUUAAUAGGGACAGUCGGGGGCAUCAGUAUUCAAUUGUCAGAGGUGAAAUUCUUGGAUUUAUUGAAGACUAACUACUGCGAAAGCAUUUGCCAAGGAUGUUUUCAUUAAUCAGUGAACGAAAGUUAGGGGAUCGAAGACGAUCAGAUACCGUCGUAGUCUUAACCAUAAACUAUGCCGACUAGGGAUCGGGCGGUGUUUCUAUUUUGACUCGCUCGGCACCUUACGAGAAAUCAAAGUG